CUCCGCUCGCACGCGGCUGCAGCCCCCGCGGCCGUGACUGGCCUGCGGACGGGGGUCCGCCCGGGCAGGGGCUGGAGCCGUCACAGCGCUCCCUUGGGCGGCGGGCUAACGCCUUUCCCGUUCACCGCCGCCCCGGCACAUCCCUGCAGGUGCGAUGCCGGAUCCCGCCCACCCAAAGGUUGCCUUGAGCGCCUUGCGUGCCCUGCGGACUGGGUAUGGUUGGGACUUCAGAUAUUUUUGAAUCUGGGAGGGGCUGUGGCUGUGGGACAGACGGAAAAGUAUUUGCUGUAUGAAGGCACCUGACAGUUCAUUCCAUUUCAUGUGCUGUGAAUUCUGGGGCCCAACCCCAAACCUGAAAACAUCUUCCAUUCAUCAUACUUAGGAAGGAGCAUCCACACAUAAGUCAAAGAAACUCUACAAUUUAUUAGAAGUAAUUAAAAUAUUUUAAAAAAGAAAUGUCACCCAACAAUAUUUAAAAUAUAAUGGGACUGAAUCCAUGAACAAUGACUAAACGUUACAGUCUGCUGCACCCAUCUUUUUUCCCCUCUCACUGAGAAGGGGCAAUAACUGGGGAAAUUGUUCUUGGGACAACUAGGGACAUCUCCUGCAUGGGGCUUAUGGGGAUUGAUGGGGUUCAGGACCCCCCACAGGCUCAUCAUUCCCCUCCUGGAGACCCAGGGGGUCCCCAUGCAAACAAUUUCAGGUGCCAGUGGAAGGUGUGGUUCCAAGUAUGCUGCAGACUCCAUGUUCUCCUCUUGGUCACUCGGAAGAUAUAAGCAAGGAGAGAAGCCAUCUUUAGGAUUUGCCACUAGACACAAGGGAAAAGAGCUCUUGCAAGUAAAUCCAAUGAUACAUCUGUCUGUUUUAAAAAGCAACUGCUACCAUUAUGGACCUGAAGGGUGCCCCCUCAUACCCAUAUGAUGCCUGAUCCUGACGAGAACAAAGAGGACUAGGGAGGACAUGUUCAGGGAGAUCCUGCAAGCCAGUACUGCAUUGUGUUGGACUAUGAAAAGAGCCUGAAGGGCCAACAUGGCAGAUGACAUGGAGAAGGAAAGAAGAGACAGAAAGGCCCGGGAAUUGCAAUGGAAAAAGAAGAGGGAGUUGCAACCGGACAUAAUGGGUCUUCUCAAGCUGCACACCCUGGUUGACCUGCAAGUCCAAAAAUCCUGGACUUCCCACCCUAUGGAGUCCUUAGAGAACUCUAAGAUAUCAGCCCCCUACACACUUCAGCAUACCACGUGACAUCACAGGCUGCAUUCUGGCCCCUACCAUUUCAUGCUGGUAGAUAGCAAGGAAAACCACAGCUUCACAUUGUGACGUUCUGCACUUCAUGGGAACAGCCGACACUCCCAUGUUCAUCCUUAUAAAAUGAUUGUGUGGUAUCCAAUGCAAAGUUUGUCAUGUCAGGUGUCUUCGGAAGGUUCAUGAUGUACUGAGCAUUGUUGUUAUAGUAAUGUUACUAUAAUG